rnacentral:rRNA from 1 species
AGUGAACGCUGGCGGUAGGCCUAACACAUGCAAGUCGAACGGCAGCACAGUAAGCGCUUGCCCUUACGGGUGGCGAGUGGCGGACGGGUGAGGAAUACAUCGGAAUCUACUUUUUCGGGGGGGAUAACGGAGGGAAACUUAUGCUAAUACCGCAUACAACCUACGGGUGAAAGCAGUGGAUCAUCAGGCCUUUCGCGUCUGAAUGAGCCGAAGUCGGAUUAGCUUGUUGGCGGGGUAAAGGCCCACCAAGGCGACGAUCCGUAGCUGGUCUGAGAGGAUGAUCGGCCCCACUGGAACUGAGACACGGUCCAGACUCCUACGGGAGGCAGCAGUGGGGAAUAUUGGACAAUGGGCGCAAGCCUGAUCCAGCCAUACCGCGUGGGUGAAGAAGGCCUUCGGGUUGUAAAGCCCUUUUGUUGGGAAAGAAAAGCAGCAGGUUAAUACCCCGCUGUUCUGACGGUACCCAAAGAAUAAGCACCGGCUAACUUCGUG